rnacentral:rRNA from 1 species
GACGAACGCUGGCGGCGUGCCUAAUACAUGCAAGUAGAACGCUGAAGAAAGGAGCUUGCUUCUUUUGGAUGAGUUGCGAACGGGUGAGUAACGCGUAGGUAACCUGCCUUGUAGCGGGGGAUAACUAUUGGAAACGAUAGCUAAUACCGCAUAACAGCUUUUGACACAUGUUAGAAGCUUGAAAGAUGCAAUUGCAUCACUACGAGAUGGACCUGCGUUGUAUUAGCUAGUAGGUAGGGUAACGGCCUACCUAGGCGACGAUACAUAGCCGACCUGAGAGGGUGAUCGGCCACGCGAGGACUGAGACACGGCCCAGACGCCCACGGGAGGCAGCAGUAGGGAAGCUUCGGCAAUGGGGGCAACCCUGACCGAGCAACGCCGCGUGAGUGAAGAAGGUUUUCGGAUCGUAAAGCUCUGCUGUAAGAGAAGAACGUGUGUGAGAGUGGAAAGGUCACACAGUGACGGUAACUUACCAGAAAGGGACGGCUAACUACGUGCCAGCCGCCGCCGUAACAC